GAAUUCACUAGUGAUUCAGGCCUAACACAUGCAAGUCGAACGGCAGCACGGGUGCUUGCACCUGGUGGCGAGUGGCGAACGGGUGAGUAAUAUAUCGGAACGUACCUUAUUGUGGGGGAUAACGCAGCGAAAGCUGUGCUAAUACCGCAUAAUCCCUAAGGGGGAAAGCGGGGGACCGUAAGGCCUCGCGCAAUUAGAGCGGCCGAUACCUGAUUAGCUAGUUGGUGAGGUAAAGGCUCACCAAGGCAACGAUCAGUAGCUGGUCUGAGAGGACGAUCAGCCACACUGGGACUGAGACACGGCCCAGACUCCUACGGGAGGCAGCAGUGGGGAAUUUUGGACAAUGGGGGCAACCCUGAUCCAGCAAUGCCGCGUGAGUGAAGAAGGCCUUCGGGUUGUAAAGCUAUUGUUGUCAGGGAAGAAACAGCAGCUCUAACACAGUUUGC
rnacentral:rRNA from 1 species